UCUGUGUGUAUGUUCUUGGUUGCUAGAAGGUUAUGACAGAGACUGGUGAUGGCAUCUUUUGUGCUUCCCUGGAAGUGCAGUAACUGGGGGAAAAGGUGCAAUACUAUGAUAUAGCUACUGAAAAGCGAGCUGAUUUCAAGAAGGCCAUGGCACAAUACAUGAAGAAAUAGGAAAGUGAUGAGUUUUCUGAGGAUUCUGAUAAUGAGUAUAAAUGACUGGAUGGGGAAUCAUAAUGAGAAAUCAAAGGGACCAAUGCAGAAAAUAAUAUGUUGUACAUUAUAGUAACGAAUCUGUUUUAUCUAAAUGGGAUGCCAAAUUCAUCUUCCAUCUUGUUGCAACAUUCUAAUGGGCAUACCUCUGUUUCUCUUGCUCUUGCUUUCUUCUGCUUUAUGUGAAAGCUCUUUUUCUUUUCUUUUCCCAUUUUUUAGGGGAAAAAUGGGAAAAAAUUGACAGGCCAUCGUCAAUGAAGUGCUUGGCAUAAAUCUUGAAGAUUUUCGGUAA